AUGGCAACGUGGUGACAUUCUGGGGAUAUUUUCUUCUUAUGCAGGCUAUUUACAGGGUAUUCUGACACGCAACUCCUGCAUAAGAGCUGUUACAGGAAUGAACAGUUUUGUAUGAUAUGCACGUCAGGAAGCGAUUCCUGCAUGAGAGCUGUUACAGGAAUGAACAGUUUUUAUGAUAUGUACGUAAUAAAGCGAUUCCUGCAGGAGAGCUGUUACCGGAAUGAACAGGAUUUUUUGGUGCGUACGUAAGGAAGCGAUUCCUGCAAGAGAGCUGUUACAGGAAUGAACAGUUUUUAAGGUUCAAAACCCGAUUUACCAGCUGCGCUGAGUGUGGGGCAGUUCAGAUGGCUGUUUGAAGAGUUUUAGUGAGAGGAGCAUUUAUUGAUUUCGAUGUCCAAUGCCGAUUGAUAUGUAUAUGCAAGCAGGGAGGAUCAAGCAAUGACUUGACCGGUCAUGUCUUUUAGACAUGACCGAUCAAGACAUUAGUUGAUCGUACCCUUUGGCUUAUUGCUGUAAUUACAAUCGGUGUAUGUUUAACAAACCGAUACCAAUCGGUGUAUACUUAACUUAACAGCCCGAUACCAAUCGGUGUGUAUUUGUCUUGCCACCCGAUACCAAUCGGUGCAUGCUUAAAUUGCCACCCGAUACCAAUCGGUAUUUAUUAGUUAAUCUGAUAAUCAUUAUUGUUCACUGUUAAAUAUAUUAACCGAUAUAAAUCGGAAUGCAUUGGUUAACCCGAUUAAUAAUCGGUGAUCACAGUUAAUAAGAUAACCGAUAUUAAUCGGGAUUCAUACGUUAUAAUAUAAACCGAUAUUAUUUGGUAUUCUAUGCUA